rnacentral:rRNA from 1 species
GACGAACGCUGGCGGCGUGCCUAAUACAUGCAAGUCGAACGCUUUUUCUUUCACCGAGACUUGUCUCACCGAAAGAAAAAGAGUGGCGAACGGGUGAGUAACACGUGGGUAACCUGCCCUCGAGAAGGGGAUAACACUUGGAAACAGGUGCUAAUACCGUAUAACAAUAACUGCCGCAUGGCAGAUAUUUGAAAGGCGCUUUUGCGUCACUCGAGGAUGGACCCGCGGUGCAUUAGCUAGUUGGUGAGGUAACGGCUCACCAAGGCGACGAUGCAUAGCCGACCUGAGAGGGUGAUCGGCCACACUGGGACUGAGACACGGCCCAGACUCCUACGGGAGGCAGCAGUAGGGAAUCUUCGGCAAUGGACGAAGGUCUGACCGAGCAACGCCGCGUGAGUGAAGAAGGUUUUCGGAUCGUAAAACUCUGUUGUUAGAGAAGAACAAGGAUGAGAGUAGAACGUUCAUCCCUUGACGGUAUCUAACCAGAAAGCCACGGCUAACUACGUGCCAGCAGCCGCGGUAAUACGUAGGUGGCAAGCGUUGUCCGGAUUUAUUGGGCGUAAAGCGAGCGCAGGCGGUUCUUUAAGUCUGAUGUGAAAGCCCCCGGCUCAACCGGGGAGGGUCAUUGGAAACUGGAGAACUUGAGUGCAGAAGAGGAGAGUGGAAUUCCAUGUGUAGCGGUGAAAUGCGUAGAUAUAUGGAGGAACACCAGUGGCGAAGGCGGCUCUCUGGUCUGUAACUGACGCUGAGGCUCGGAAAGCGUGUGGAGCAAACAGG